UCCAUCUGAUGUAGAACCUGAAUAAUUUUAGCUGAGAGAGCCAUUCUAUUCCUUGUUUCUCAGUUACUGCUCUCAUGACUGCAUGCAGAAAGUGAUUUGAGGACCGAGAAGCUCUCCCAAACUGCUCUCAAAGAGAGAGAGGACAGAACACAGGAGGCCCUGAGUA
rnacentral:lncRNA from 1 species